AUGAAAGUUGUAUGCUUAAUGGGUAAGUAUAGAAGACUUACUUGAAGCAAACAGAGUAUGUUCUAUAUUUAUACCCAACACAACUGCAUAAAGAUUGGUCUUCACUAAGCUCACUGUGAACAGAGUAACUACUUAUAUUUGUUUGAUUAAAUCUACAGACAAAUCGCUUCAACACUGACAACAGAAUUACAUUUGAGUACUUUAAAACUGAGAACUUAGUUUCUUGGAAGAUACCAUUCCUUAUCCAUUAGCAGGAUAGGAUAUUGACCACCACAAGUUACUCUCUCCUAAUAAAGAAGAGUAAUAUUCAAAGCACUAUUCAUGAUGGACACUGGGUGGGGGGGGGAGAGGAAGAGGGCAGGAGAGAUAAACUCUAGUCCUUCAUCAAAGCAUGUAUAAUUUUAUUCUUUAAAAUAUGAGCAUGUUUGGGCUAUUGCUUUGAUUCUUCAGUCUUCAUGCACGUGGCCCCUACUGCUGUAGAACUUUUCAAACCUGAAAAAUGACAUGGAUCUUGAGGCUUUCUACAUGAGCUUUAAAAAAAAAAAAAAAAUCGGGAAAAAGUAGCUAGAGCCUUAGAAUGUUAGAUGUUGCAGUUACUAUGUGGUCACUAUUCUUUCGUUCUCAAAAUGAUCGAACUCUGGAAGUUAGGCAGAAAACUCUUAUUAGAAAGUAAGAUAAAGAAUGGUUACUUACUUUACAGUUUAAGAUGUGUUUUCCAUACAGAUUCCUCUCUUGGUAAGCACAUGUCCCAUGUUAGAGAGAGAUCAGAUUAUUUUGAAAGGGAGAAUCCAGAGAAAUGCUUGUGACCUGAAUACCUUCUCAGUCCCUGUAGGUGAGGGCAUACAGGGUGUGAGCUGCAAACCUCACUCAUUUUCAUCACUGAGGAGCAAGACUCAAAUCAGUGGAUGUCAUAAUCAGGAGUGCUGCCCAGCACCUGGGGACUAAGGGGUUAACUCUGUACCUAGCAAGGUAUCAGGUAGUCAGCCAAUAUCACUUGCAGACAGGAAUGUCAAACUGGAAGAGUUUUUUUUUCUUCUUUGUUUGAGAUUCAGAGUAGUUUUCUUCCAAGUACUGAGGGAGAUGGGAGACACUCUUCUCUCCAAGAACGGACUCCUUAGAAUGUUCAACUUGUGGAACUCCUUGCCCAGAGGAUGUGAAGGCUAAGAGUAGCAGGGCUCAAAAAAAGAAUUAGAUGCGGCUAAUCAGCAAUCCAGCUGCUGUUACUGGAAAAAGAUUCGUCAUAAUAUGGCACCUGGUUUCCAAAGACUGAACCCCAAAGGGAUGAAAAAAUAAUGCAAGAGCUUUAUUUCUAUGAGAACAAAAACAAAUAAAAAGACAACACUUUACACAAGACAUUUAUUAAGUCCUGGUGUGGAAGAUAUAUACUGCUUUUGAUAAUAUCAUAGCACAAAAUUAGUCGUGAGCUAGGAAUAAGAAAGGAAGCCUAACUCUUGGUCCUCUGUGAUAAGACAUUAAACCACACUGCUAUUCUAGAAAUAAUUCAAGUCAACAACACAGGAGGUUUAGGAUAAAAUUUUCAUGAGAGAUUAAAAUGAGUUAGCAUCCUAGGGUCCUGUGUCUGUUGGCAGACCUCAGGCUUCUAAACCACUUAACAGAUGUAUGAAAAUGUUACCCUUAGUAUUUUGUUUUAAAAAGUAAAGAGCUAAAGAUUCAAAGUGUACAUUUGCUUUAAAUAUUUAGCAUUUCAAAACUUAUAGUGUAAAUAUGAAAACUUAACAUGAAUGAUGGCAGGAGA